rnacentral:tRNA from 1 species
GAGGAAGGCCACAAGGCAAUAAGUACUGCUAAUACUUAUAUCCAUGGUUAAAUUCCAUGGCUUCCUUG